rnacentral:rRNA from 1 species
GGCAUGCCUAAUACAUGCAAGUCGAACGAGGAAAGCUUUCGGGUGAGUACUAGUGGCGCACGGGUGAGGAAUACAUGGGUAAUCUGCCCUCGAGUUGGGGAUAACCAGUCGAAAGAUUGGCUAAUACCGGAUAAGACCACAAGAUCUGCGGAUAAAGGGGUUAAAGGUUUUUCGCUUGAGGAUGAGCCCAUGUGGGAUUAGCUAGUUGGUGAGGUAAUGGCUCACCAAGGCGACGAUCCCUAACUGGUCUUAGAGGAUGAUCAGUCACACUGGAACUGAGACACGGUCCAGACUCCUACGGGAGGCAGCAGUAGGGAAUAUUGCACAAUGGGGGAAACCCUGAUGCAGCGACGCCGCGUGAGUGAUGAAGGCCUUCGGGUCGUAAAGCUCUGUCGUAUGGGACUAACACAAUGAAGGUACCAUGCAAGAAAGGAUCGGCUAACUUCGUGCCAGCCGCCGCUGUAACAC